GAUCAACGCUGGCGGCGUGCUUAACACAUGCAAGUCGAACGAAGUUUUUCCUUCGGGAGAAACUUAGUGGCGGACGGGUGAGUAACGCGUGGGUAACCUGCCCUGUACAGGGGGACAACAGCUGGAAACGGCUGCUAAUACCGCAUAAGCACUUAGCACUGCAUGGUGCAUAGGGAAAAGGAGCAAUCCGGUACAGGAUGGACCCGCGUCUGAUUAGCCAGUUGGCAGGGUAACGGCCUACCAAAGCGACGAUCAGUAGCCGAUCUGAGAGGAUGUACGGCCACAUUGGGACUGAGACACGGCCCAGACUCCUACGGGAGGCAGCAGUGGGGAAUAUUGCACAAUGGAGGAAACUCUGACGCAGCGACGCCGCGUGAGUGAAGAAGUAUUUCGGUAUGUAAAGCUCUAUCAGCAGGGAAGAAAAUGACGGUACCUGACUAAGAAGCACCGGCUAAAUACGUG
rnacentral:rRNA from 1 species